UACGUAGGGUGCGAGCGUUAAUCGGAAUUACUGGGCGUAAAGCGUGCGCAGGCGGUGAUGUAAGACAGAUGUGAAAUCCCCGGGCUCAACCUGGGAAUGGCAUUUGGGACUGCAAGGCUGGAGUGCGGCAGAGGAGACUGGAAUUCCUGGUGUAGCAGUGAAAUGCGUAGAUAUCAGGAGGAAUACCGAUGGCGAAGGCAGGUCUCUGGGCUGACACUGACGCUCAUGCACGAAAGCGUGGGGAGCAAACAGG
rnacentral:rRNA from 1 species